rnacentral:rRNA from 1 species
CCUACGGGUGGCAGCAGUAGGGAAUAUUGCUCAAUGGAGGAAACCCUGAAGCAGCAACGCCGCGUGGAGGAUGAAGGUUUUCGGAUUGUAAACUACUUUUGUUAGAGAAGAUAAUGACGGUAUCUAACGAAUAAGCACCGGCUAACGCCGUGCCAGCAGCCGCGGUAAUACGGAGGGGGCAAGCGUUAAUCGGAAUCACUGGGCGUAAAGAGCGCGUAGACGGGAUAGCAAGUCAGCUGUGAAAUCCCAUGGCUUAACCGUAGAACUGCAAUUGAAACUGUUAUUCUUGAGUAUGGGAGAGGUAGGUGGAAUUCUUGGUGUAGGGGUAAAAUCCGUAGAUAUUAAGAGGAAUACUCAUUGCGAAGGCGACCUGCUAGAACAUAACUGACGCUGAUGCGCGAAAGCGUGGGGAGCAAACAGGAUUAGAUACCCCUGUAGUC